AUUGAACGCUGGCGGCAGGCCUAACAAAUGCAAGUCGAGCGAGAGGCGGACGGGUGAGUAAUGUAUGGGGACUGCCCGAUAGAGGGGGAUAAAUACUGGAAACGGUGGCUAAUACCGCAUACAGUCGGAUAAAACAUAUGGGAUUAGCUAGUAGGUAAGGUAAUGGCUUAACUAGGCGACGAUCCCUAGCUGGUCUGAGAGGAUGAUCAGCCACACUGGGACUGAGACACGGCCCAGACUCCUACGGAGGCAGCAGUGGGGAAUAUUGCACAAUGGUCGCAAGCCUGAUGCAGCCAUGCCGCGUGUAUGAAGAAGGCCCUAGGGUUGUAAAGUACUUUCAGUCGGGAGGCGUUACCGACAGAAGAAGCACCGGCUAACUCCGUGCCAGCCGCCGCGGUAAUAC
rnacentral:rRNA from 1 species